AUUGAACGCUGGCGGCAGGCCUAACACAUGCAAGUCGGACGGUAGCACAGAGAGCUUGCUCUUGGGUGACGAGUGGCGGACGGGUGAGUAAUGUCUGGGGAUCUGCCCGAUAGAGGGGGAUAACCACUGGAAACGGUGGCUAAUACCGCAUAACGUCGCAAGACCAAAGAGGGGGACCUUCGGGCUUCUCACUAUCGGAUGAACACAUAUGGGAUUAGCUAGUAGGCGGGGUAAUGGCCCACCCAGGCGACGAUCCCUAGCUGGUCUGAGACGAUGACCAGCCACACUGGAACUGAGACACGGUCCAGACUCCUACGGGAGGCAGCAGUGGGGAAAAUUGCACAAUGGGCGCAAGCCUUAUGCAGCCAUGCCGCGUGUAUGAAGAAGGCCUUCGGGUUGUAAAGUACUUUCAGCGUGGAGGAAGGCGACGCGGUUAAUAACCGCGUCGAUUGACGUUACCCGCAGAAGAAGCACCGGCUAACUCCGUGCCAGCCGCCGCGGUAA
rnacentral:rRNA from 1 species